CCUACGGGAGGCAGCAGUAGGGAAUAUUGCUCAAUGGGGGAAACCCUGAAGCAGCAACGCCGCGUGGACGAUGAAGGUUUUGGGAUGGUAAACUCCUUUUGUUAGAGAAGAUAAUGACGGUAUCUAACGAAUAAGCACCGGCUAACUCCGUGCCAGCAGCCGCGGUAAUACGGAGGGUGCAAGCGUUACUCGGAAUCACUGGGCGUAAAGAGCUCGUAGGCGGGAUAGCAAGUCAGAUGUGAAAGCCUAUGGCUUAACCAUAGAACUGCAUUUGAUACUUGUAUUCUAGAGUAUGGGAGAGGUAGGUGGAAUUCUUGGUGUAGGGGUAAAAUCCGUAGAGAUCAAGAGGAAUACUCAUUGCGAAGGCGAUCUGCUAGAACAUAAUUGACGCUGAUGCGCGAAAGCGUGGGGAGCAAACAGGAUUAGAUACCCGGGUAGUC
rnacentral:rRNA from 1 species